ensembl:lncRNA
AUUCUCAUAAAAUAAACUUGGAAAGGAUGUACAUAUGGGAAAAAAAUAAAUCCAGUAAGGUUCAUAAUGUAAAGGAACAGCAAAUGUUUGAGCUUGUCCAAACAAACACUGAGUAUCUGGAAAACAAUAAUAGUGUUUAAUUUGAGUUUAAAAAGCGAAAACCAUCCAUGAUGCAACUUAAAUACCAGCAACAAUAACACAUAUUGGGGAGGAGUGGCAAGAAUAAAAGUAUUUUGAAGUCCAUCAUACUGUUCAUCAUUGGAAUGAAAAUAGGUGUUAACUGAGGACUUUGUGUUAAUUGUUUGUAGUUAUUAACAUAACCACUGAAACACUAGAAAGAGGAGAUUGAUUAGAGCAUAUGUUUAAAUCUACAAAAUAAAGAAAAACCAUGCCAAAAAAAAAAAAAAACGCUACCAAAAUAGGAGAAUAAGAUUCUCAGGCCAGGGUAAGACAAAAGUAUGCUUCAUUAUCAAUGGAAACCUACUGAGAGGAACUUAAUCCAUUCAAGAGCCAGUCAUUGAAUAUAGCAUAUUGACAGACAGACUUCCCUUUGAAGGAAUUCUGUACAGUGGAGCCUCCAAGCUCUCUUCACUGAGGAUCAGUUCUUAAGAAUAUAAACAGUAUAAAUCUUCACGUUAAAACUUGCCAAUGAUAUCCGCCUACCGUUAGUCGUUCUCGAAUGCAGGACUCAAGAUUAUGCUUCCAAGCAUACUGACUCAGUAGGUGUGUUUUUAUUACAAAUCCCAAGAGACAUUAUAAAAAUGUGGAAGGCUUGAAGGCCGCAUAUGAUAGUCACUAUCUGACAUGAGAACACCAAAAUCCCCUUGGCAGUACUAUUUAUCAGUACAAACUGAGAAUGAGGUGCUUGCUUUAUAUCUCAGUCUCUGGCAGAAUUUGAGAAGAGAAAAGAAAAAGUGUACAUUCAUUUGAAUAAGACAUUACUCUUCACAAUGUAAAAGAAAAAAAAAGAUUUCUUAAGCUUUAAACAACAGACCUUGGUAUAUUUCCUAACUUAUGAGUCUCAUACCUCAUGGGAGGCAGCCCACCUGGUCUCACCUGGUGAAACCAGCUAGGUCACAGUUCCUGCUAUUUUUCUCAUCUCAGGAGAACUGGAUAGGAAAAAAAAGUUUUGCUAAUAAGCCCAGGCCAUCUUGCUGAAAAUCCCUCGAAUUCCAAUCUCAGAAGAUUAAAGAAGAGUCAAACCUCAGACAUCACAGAAGUAAACUCUUCUUGAGUAGCUGCCUGUUCCCUAGAAGAUCAAGUCUAAACUCCAUAACAUUCCAUGUUUCACAGUGAUUUCUCAAGUGGCUUCUCCAGCUGAAUUUUCUCCAUCAUUUGAUGACUGUAUUUUCAUAAAGCCCAUCAAAUCAGCUAAUUAAGAGCCCCUUGCUUACUGUCUGGGCUUCCCAGAUGGGGCUUGUAGUAAUGAACUCACCGGCCAGUGCAAGAGACAUAAGAAACCUGGAUUUGAUCCCUGG